CCUACGGGAGGCUGCAGUGGGGAAUAUUGCACAAUGGGGGAAACCCUGAUGCAGCGACGCCGCGUGAGUGAAGAAGUAAUUCUUUAUGUAAAGCUCUAUCAGCAGGGAAGAAAAUGACGGUACCUGAAUACUAAGCUCCGGCUAACUACGUGCGAGCAGCCGCGGUAAUACGUCGGGGGCAAGCGUUAUCCGGAUGUACUGGGUGUAAAGGGAGCGUAGACGGCAGUGCAAGUCUGGAGUGAAAGGCGGGGGCUCAACCCCCGGACUGCUAUGGAAACUGUACGGCUGGAGUGCAGGAGAGGUGAGUGGAAUUCCUAGUGUAGCGGUGAAAUGCGUAGAUAUUAGGAGGAACACCAGUGGCGAAGGCGGCUUACUGGACUGUAACUGACGUUGAGGCUCGAAAGCGUGGGUAGCAAACAGGAUUAGAUACCCGAGUAGUC
rnacentral:rRNA from 1 species